rnacentral:rRNA from 1 species
GAUGAACGCUGGCGGCGUGCUUAACACAUGCAAGUCGAACGGGAACCUCUGGAUUCGUCUGGAGGGGAGAGUGGCGAACGGGUGAGUAACACGUAGGUGACCUGCCUUGAAGACGGGAAUAACCACUGGAAACGGCGGCUAAUACCCGAUGGUCUCCCUGAUUCGGUUGAGGGAGUAAAGCCUCUGCAAAGAGGCGCUUCAAGAGGGGCCUGCGGCCCAUCAGCUAGUUGGUAGGGUAAUGGCCUACCAAGGCAAAGACGGGUAGGGGACGUGAGAGCGUGGCCCCCCACACUGGCACUGAGAUACGGGCCAGACUCCUACGGGAGGCAGCAGUGAGGAAUUUUGCCCAAUGGGCGAAAGCCUGAGGCAGCAACGCCGCGUGGGUGAUGAAGGCCCUCGGGUCGUAAAACCCUUUUCUGGGAGAAGAGCAAGGACGGUAUCCCAGGAAUAAGUCUCGGCUAACUAUGUG